rnacentral:rRNA from 1 species
CCUACGUGUGGCUGCAUUGAGGAAUAUUGGUCAAUGGGCGGAAGCCUGAACCAGCCAAGUCGCGUGAGGGAAUAAGGCCCUACGGGUCGUAAACCUCUUUUGCCGGGGAGCAAGGGCGGGGACGUGUCCCGGCCCGGAGAGUACCCUGAGAAAAAGCAUCGGCUAACUCCGUGCCAGCAGCCGCGGUAAUACGGAGGAUGCGAGCGUUAUCCGGAUUUAUUGGGUUUAAAGGGUGCGUAGGCGGGCUUUUAAGUCAGCGGUAAAAAUUCGGGGCUCAACCCCGUCCGGCCGUUGAAACUGGGGGCCUUGAGUGGGCGAGAAGAAGGCGGAAUGCGUGGUGUAGCGGUGAAAUGCAUAGAUAUCACGCAGAACCCCGAUUGCGAAGGCAGCUCACUGGACUGCAACUGACACUGAGGCUCGAAAGUGUGGGUAUCAAACAGGAGUAGAUACCCCUGUAGUC